ACGCACCGGGACGCACACGCCAGGUCGCACGUCCGCGGCCCCGCCCCGCGGGCGACGGGGUUUGGGGACUGUCCGAGGUGCUCUCCCGCGGAGCUGUUUCCAAAAGUACACGUCGUGUGGUUUUGAGUCAUUGUGUUCUGGAGUGAGACGAGGCUAGAGACGGGGUGUCACUGUGUUAGCCAGGAUGGUCUCGAUCUCCUGACCUCGUAAUCCACCCACCUCGGCUUCCCAAAGUGCUAGGAUUACAGGCGUGAGCCACCACUCCCGGCCUAUUCAAUUUUUCUAAUGAUGCUAUGAGGAGGGCAAGUUGAAGACAUCUUCAGAUGACAAACAAAAGCAGAGUUAGCUGCCAUAGGCCCUUACCAUGGAAACUACUGAAGAAUGAACCUAAGACACAAGAAAACUGAACCCAAAAGGAAAUAGGGAAAUGCAAGAAAAAAUGACAGAGUCUUGCUGUAUUGCCCAGGCUGUAGUACAGUGGUAUGAUCUUAGCUCACUGCAA